CAGCAGCCGCGGUAAAACGUAGGUGGCAAGCGUUGUCCGGAAUUAUUGGGCGUAAAGGGCUCGCAGGCGGUUUCUUAAGUCUGAUGUGAAAGCCCCCGGCUCAACCGGGGAGGGUCAUUGGAAACUGGGAAACUUGAGUGCAGAAGAGGAGAGUGGAAUUCCACGUGUAGCGGUGAAAUGCGUAGAGAUGUGGAGGAACACCAGUGGCGAAGGCGACUUUCUGGUCUGUAACUGACGCUGAGGAGCGAAAGCGUGGGGAGCGAACAGGAUUAGAUACCCCCGUAGUCCCUGUCUCUUAUAC
rnacentral:rRNA from 1 species